ensembl:lncRNA
UCUAUAUCAGGUUGACACUGUGUCCAUCAUCAUGUUCAUCCUCUAUAUCAGGUUGACACUGUGUCCAUCAUCAUGUUCAUCCUCUAUAUCAGGUUGACACUGUGUCCAUCAUCAUGUUCAUCCUCUAUAUCAGGUUGACACUGUGUCAGGUAAAGCACAUCAGGUUGACACUGUGUCAGGUAAAGCACAACAGGUUGACACUGUUUCAGGUAAAGCACAUCAGGUUGACACUGUGUCAGGUAAAGCACAACAGGUUGACACUGUUUCAGGUAAAGCACAUCAGGUUGACACUGUGUCAGGUAAAGCACAACAGAUUGACACUGUUUCUAGGACAUUAAAAUACUAAUAUCACACCUUCUAACUAAUGCACUCCAACCCCUUACACACAUCAGCACAGUGGGAAUCGCAGUUCUGAAGCACCACCAGAAACAUAGCGGAUCGUUGGGGAUCAUAGUUCUGAUGCACCACCAGGGACAUAGCGGAUCGUUGGGAAUCAUAGUUCUGAAGCACCACCAGAAACAUAACGGAUCGUUGGGAAUCAUAGUUCUGAAGCACCACCAGGAACAUAGCGGAUCGUUGGGAAUCAUAGUUCUGAAGCACCACCAGGAACAUAGCGGAUCGUUGGGAAUCAUAGUUCUGAAGCACCACCAGUGACACAGCGCAACAUUGCGAAGUAAAAAUGCCCAUUUGUAUGCUAAUCAACCUAGCCUCUAACCACACAUCACAUACAAGCACAAGCACCAAUUUCAUUACUUGGCCCUAAAACCCAUACUUAUAUAAUGGAUGAAAGUAAAUAAAUGUGAUGCUAAUCUCUAGCAUGCUACACAGUGAUGUCUGAAUUAAGAUUCUCUGUAGCAGAACAGUGGCCCCCAUAGCACAGUGUGACUAAUCGUUAUCUGCUAGACGUUCUCCGGCUCCAGUCCCUUCACUGUCAUUCAUUAGCUUAGCAGUUAGCCAUUUCUAGCUCACAGGAUGUAAUUGUAUGGGGUUUCUGUGGCAGUUUGGGCAGCUGGGGUUUUAUUAGGCUAGUUGAGCAUGAGUGCUCAGCUCUGGGGUAAGACACUGAGCUACAAACUUAUUGUGUGACACACACACACACACACGCGCGCGCGCGCGCGUGCAUACAAGCACACACACACACACCGACACACACAUACAAGCACACACACACGCACACGCACACACACACAGACGGAGAAACACACAUCACACACAGACACACACAAGCACACACACAAGCACAUACACACAGGGUCAAAGCUCUGGAGUAAGAUGUGACAUCAUUCUAACAUGUCCUUCCUCACCCUUUCAGAGUAUGUCAAACUUUCCCCUCUAUGGUCAGUUUUGCAGAUUCCCUCCUGAUAGUAAAGGUUGGGAUUUGGGGAAGGUAAACUGAUCUUUGAUCUGUCAGGGUCAUGAGAGCAACCACUUCCUGGAUGAACCCUGCACCUGAUGACCUCGUGACCUGGGUUUGUUGUCAGGUUAUUAGCGCUGACCUCUGACUUAUCGAUCCAUUGCCGACCAUGUCACAGGAUAAUACAGAAUUGCAUUUCUGACACAAUAGGGGGAGGAAAUUGGCAACCACCAGUGUAACAACAAAUAUACCAAACCUGCCCUCCAAUCACAGAAAGAAGACUUAGAAAAAGCAACUGGGAAUACGUGAAUCAAGACCAGAAUACUUACUGCUUCAGAAUACUGACUGCUUCAGAAUACUGACUGCUUCAGAAUACUGACUGUUUCAGAAUACUGACUGUUUCAGAAUACUGACUGUUUCAGAAUACUGACUGCUUCAGAAUACUGACUGCUUCAGAAUACAGACUGCUUCAGAAUACUGACUGUUUCAGAAUACUGACUGCUUCAGAAUACUGACUGUUUCAGAAUACUGACUGUUUCAGAAUACUGACUGCUUCAGAAUACUGACUGUUUCAGAAUACUGACUGUUUCAGAAUACUGACUGCUUCAGAAUACUGACUGCUUC